rnacentral:rRNA from 1 species
UACGUAGGGUGCGAGCGUUAAUCGGAAUUACUGGGCGUAAAGCGUGCGCAGGCGGCUUUGCAAGACAGAUGUGAAAUCCCCGGGCUCAACCUGGGAACUGCAUUUGUGACUGCAAGGCUAGGGUACGGCAGAGGGGGAUGGAAUUCCGCGUGUAGCAGUGAAAUGCGUAGAUAUGCGGAGGAACACCAAUGGCGAAGGCAAUCCCCUGGGCCUGUACUGACGCUCAUGCACGAAAGCGUGGGGAGCAAACAGG